rnacentral:rRNA from 1 species
UGGGGAAUAUUGCACAAUGGGGGGAACCCUGAUGCAGCGAUGCCGCGUGGAGGAAGAAGGUUUUCGGAUUGUAAACUCCUGUCGUAAGGGACGAUAAUGACGGUACCUUACAAGAAAGCUCCGGCUAACUACGUGCCAGCAGCCGCGGUAAUACGUAGGGAGCGAGCGUUGUCCGGAAUUACUGGGUGUAAAGGGAGCGUAGGCGGGACGGCAAGUCAGAUGUGAAAUAUACGUGCUCAACAUGUAGACUGCAUUUGAAACUGUCGUUCUUGAGUGAGGUAGAAGUAAGCGGAAUUCCUGGUGUAGCGGUGAAAUGCGUAGAGAUCAGGAGGAACAUCGGUGGCGAAGGCGGCUUACUGGGCCUUUACUGACGCUGAGGCUCGAAAGCGUGGGGAGCAAACAGGAUUAGAUACCC